GCUCUCACUGCUGCCAGACUUUUGGCGAUUUCGUGCGUUUAUUUCAUACUGCCAGUCACCAUCAGUGACAUAUGUGAAAUUCUGUUUCCACUAUGCAACAGGGCCUCUUCGAGACGCUAGCUGUACAGGCACGUCGCAAGCGCACGUAACAGAGCAGCACGCUGAAAGCCGUCGUUUUGGUCCAUUUCCUACGGCCUUCCAGAAAGAGAGUAGUCAAGGUAGCCCAGCUAAAGACCUUCAUGCUGUCUCAGGCCAGCAAGCUUGGAGCAGAGCUGGAGAGGACAUCAUCUUGCAGGUAUCUCCGCACCCACCUAUCUUUGUACCUGCCGCGGUGCUUGGGCCUCCCCCAACUUAUCUCCCAGACUUAUGUUAUUCCUCACUUGGUCCUCACACUCAAUCGGUGCAGCCUGUUUGUAAGUUGCUUCCUGCAGUGUGGUUGCUUCUUGCCAAUACUUGCUUUACUGUACAGGCAGUAUGUCAGCUGUGAAGGAACCGCGGGAGCCGACGACCGUUUUGGACGAGAACC